AGCGAAUAGAUACCCGGGUAGUCCCAGCCGUAAACGAUGCUCGCUAGGUGUCAGGCAUGGCGCGACCGUGUCUGGUGCCGCAGGGAAGCCGUGAAGCGAGCCACCUGGGAAGUACGGCCGCAAGGCUGAAACUUAAAGGAAUUGGCGGGGGAGCACAACAACGGGUGGAGCCUGCGGUUUAAUUGGACUCAACGCCGGACAACUCACCGGGGGCGACAGCAAUAUGUAGGCCAAGCUGAAGACUUUGCCUGAAUCGCUGAGAGGAGGUGCAUGGCCGUCGCCAGUUCGUACUGUGAAGCAUCCUGUUAAGUCAGGCAACGAGCGAGACCCGUGCCCACUGUUACCAGCAUGUCCUUUGGGAUGAUGGGUACUCUGUGGGGACCGCCGGUGUCAAAUCGGAGGAAGGUGCGGGCCACGGUAGGUCAGUAUGCCCCGAAUCUCCCGGGCUACACGCGGGCUACAAUGAAUGGGACAAUGGGUCCCUUCCCUGAAAAGGGUUGGUAAUCUCACAAACCCAUCCUUAGUUCGGAUUGAGGGCUGUAAC
rnacentral:rRNA from 1 species